AAGGCAGCUUCCUGAUCACAGCUGAGGAAGCAGGUGUCAUGGUGGCCCGGGAGUCACUCCUGAAACCUCGCUCAACUCAGCGCCCAUAUCCGUGGCUUUCUUGGCAAAUUUUGUCCAGAGAGUUCCAAGCUGGGGUAGGCCUUCUGUAUACAGGCCCCCAGCAACGCUCAAGAAGUGCAUAUGUGAGCAGAGGGAAGGAACCUUCAAAGGGGUGUUCUGAGG
rnacentral:lncRNA from 1 species